rnacentral:rRNA from 1 species
GCAAGUCGAGCGAGCUGAAUCAAAGAUCCCUUCGGGGUGACUUGUUGGAUGCUAGCGGCGGAUGGGUGAGUAACACGUGGGCAAUCUGCCCUAAAGACUGGGAUACCACUUGGAAACAGGUGCUAAUACCGGAUAACAACAUGAAUCGCAUGAUUCAAGUUUGAAAGGCGGCGCAAGCUGUCACUUUAGGAUGAGCCCGCGGCGCAUUAGCUAGUUGGUGGGGUAAAGGCCUACCAAGGCAAUGAUGCGUAGCCGAGUUGAGAGACUGAUCGGCCACAUUGGGACUGAGACACGGCCCAAACUCCUACGGGAGGCAGCAGUAGGGAAUCUUCCACAAUGGACGCAAGUCUGAUGGAGCAACGCCGCGUGAGUGAAGAAGGUCUUCGGAUCGUAAAGCUCUGUUGUUGGUGAAGAAGGAUAGAGGCAGUAACUGGUCUUUAUUUGACGGUAAUCAACCAGAAAGUCACGGCUAACUACGUGCCAGCAGCCGCGGUAAUACGUAGGUGGCAAGCGUUGUCCGGAUUUAUUGGGCGUAAAGCGAGCGCAGGCGGAAUGAUAAGUCUGAUGUGAAAGCCCACGGCUCAACCGUGGAACUGCAUCGGAAACUGUCAUUCUUGAGUGCAGAAGAGGAGAGUGGAACUCCAUGUGUAGCGGUGGAAUGCGUAGAUAUAUGGAAGAACACCAGUGGCGAAGGCGG